rnacentral:hammerhead_ribozyme from 1 species
GCACUGCUGAGGAGUCCUAUAAUAGGACGAAACGGCCGUUCACUGC